GCGCGGAAGGACGCCUGGCCUCUAAAGUGCUUAGCAAGCUUGUCUCAGUGGAUGUUACCUGACUUUCCUAAGUCCUUGUUGAGACUUCUCCUUUAAAACCGUGUCAGGAUCCCAUGGAAAAGCUGUUGAGAAAAGCUUACUCAGGAUCCAGUUUAGAUUCAAGAGGGAAAUGUCUGCAGAACACCAGGAGAUCUGAAGCAGAUGAAGAGAUGAGAUGAGAGCCACUCCAGAGCUGUGCAAACAGCUUGGGUUGAGCCCAGAGUGUUUCCAUCCUGAUCUUCUGCAAGUCUGGACCUUGAAGGCUUCAGCUUCCAGCCUCCAUCUGCUGACCUAGGCCUAGAAUGUUUCAGCCCCUGAAACUUACUGCUAAAUAAACUCAAUCUUUCUACUUCUUUCUGAACUCUGCCUGGCUGGUUCAACUCAGCUGUUCUGGCUCAAACUCCUCUUCAAGCUGAGCAGUAAUGAACUCAACUGCUCUCCUCUGAACUGAACUGCGCACAAUGACACCCAACUGACUGCACCAAACUGAACUGAAUGUAAUUGAACUCUCUGUCCCUGCACUGCUCUUAAGUAGCCUCUUUUCCUGUCUAUUCUCGUGAGUGUUUGGCAUAUCCCAUUUCUGUCUCAUUCUCUCAAAUCUUUCUCUGAUUCUUUACUCUGUCCGUGCCUCAAUUAGAUGUUACUGUUUGUGAUUGAAGGCUGUUUUGAAGUAGAAGAGCUUGCUUGGGAAACAGCCUCAGGCAGUAGAACCUGUUAUUGAUUAGGUAAGAGUCAAUAAAGAUCCCACAACUCAGAGGUCUAGUGGGAAAGCCACACUAUAACAUUGAACGUCAGGUCUGUCUUGUCACUGUGGACAUGGCGCAUCAUGUGCUAGCAGAUGUGAAGAUCUCUCAGUAACAAUGCUUGGAUCACCCCUGCAGGUUCUGCGCAUGCAUCCACUUGCAUCUUUGCAUAUUAAGAACAUUCAGAAAGAGGAUCCUUCUGGUUUCCAUCUGCACCCUGGAGCUGACCCUGUGACACAGCUCUCCAUACCCAAAUUCCUCCCAGAGACAACUGAUCUCACAGGAGUACUGACACACAGACUUGCAGGAGGGACAAGCCACAGUCAGAGACAGCAAGACCAACUAACAGCAGAGAUUGUGAGAGGCAAGGGCAAGGACAUAAGGAAUAGAAACAAAGGCUACAUGGCAUCAUCAGAACCCAGUUCUCCCACAACAGCAAGCCCUGGAUACCCCAAUACACUGGAAAAGCAAG
rnacentral:lncRNA from 1 species